rnacentral:snRNA from 1 species
GUGCUCACUUCAGCAGCUCACAUACAAAAACCGGAAUAUAGAGAAGAUUAGCAGGGCCCCUGCACAAGGUGCAAAUUCAUGAAGCUCUCCGUAGUUUU